rnacentral:rRNA from 1 species
AAAGUUCCCUUCGGGGAGCUAGUAGAGUGGCGCACGGGUGAGUAACACGUAGGUAAUCUACCUUCGGAUGGGGAAUAACACCGAGAAAUCGGUGCUAAUACCGCAUAAUGCAGCGGCACCUAAUGGUGACAGUUGUUAAAGCGGGGGAUUGAAAGACCUCGCGUCUGAAGAGGAGCCUGCGGCAGAUUAGCUAGUUGGUAAGGUAACGGCUUGCCAAGGCGAUGAUCUGUAGCCGGCCUGAGAGGGCGGUCGGCCACACUGACACUGACAUACGGGUCAGACUCCUACGGGAGGCAGCAGUCGGGAAUUUUGGGCAAUGGGCGAAAGCCUGACCCAGCAACGCCGCGUGAAGGAUGAAAUCCCUCGGGAUGUAAACUUCGCAAGAACAGGAAGAAUAAGUGAGAGUUAACACCUCUUACGAUGACGGUACUGUUUGUAAGCUCCGGCUAACUCCGUGCCAGCAGCCGCGGUAAUACGGGGGGAGCAAGCGUUGUUCGGAUUUACUGGGCGUAAAGGGCGCGUAGGCGGCCACCGCAAGUCGAUUGUGAAAUCUCCGGGCUUAACUCGGAAAGGUCAACCGAUACUGCGGGGCUAGAGUGCAGAAGGGGCAACUGGAAUUCUCGGUGUAGCGGUGAAAUGCGUAGAUAUCGAGAGGAACACCUGCGGCGAAGGCGGGUUGCUGGGCUGACACUGACGCUGAUGUGCGAAAGCUAGGGGAGCGAACGGGAUUAGAUACCCCGGUAGUCAUAGCCUUAAACGAUGAAUGCUUGGUGUCUGGGGUUUUAUAGUCCCCGGGUGCCGUCGCUAACGCUUUAAGCAUU